rnacentral:rRNA from 1 species
AGUCGAGCGGACCGACGGGAGCUUGCUCCCUUAGGUCAGCGGCGGACGGGUGAGUAACACGUGGGUAACCUGCCUGUAAGACUGGGAUAACUCCGGGAAACCGGGGCUAAUACCGGAUGCUUGAUUGAACCGCAUGGUUCAAUCAUAAAAGGUGGCUUUUAGCUACCACUUUCAGAUGGACCCGCGGCGCAUUAGCUAGUUGGUGAGGUAACGGCUCACCAAGGCGACGAUGCGUAGCCGACCUGAAAGGGUGAUCGGCCACACUGGGACUGAGACACGGCCCAGACUCCUACGGGAGGCAGCAGUAGGGAAUCUUCCGCAAUGGACGAAAGUCUGACGGAACAACGCCGCGUGAGUGAUGAAGGUUUUCGGAUCGUAAAACUCUGUUGUUAGGGAAGAACAAGUGCCGUUCGAAUAGGGCGGUACCUUGACGGUACCUAACCAGAAAGCCACGGCUAACUACGUGCCAACAGCCGCGGUAAUACCUAGGUGGCAAGCGUUGUCCGGAAUUAUUGGGCGUAAAGCGCGCGCAGGCGGUUUCUUAAGUCUGAUGUGAAAGCCCCCGGCUCAACCGGGGAGGGUCAUUGGAAACUGGGGAACUUGAGUGCAGAAGAGGAGAGUGGAAUUCCACGUGUAGCGGUGAAAUGCGUAGAGAUGUGGAGGAACACCAGUGGCGAAUGCGACUCUCUGGUCUGUAACUGACGCUGAGCGCGAAAGCGUGGGGAGCGAACAGGAUUAGAUACCCUGGUAGUCCACGCCGUAAACGAUGAGUGCUAAGUGAUAGAGGGUUUCCGCCCUUUAGUGCUGCAGCAAACGCAUUAAGC